rnacentral:lncRNA from 1 species
UGAUGCCGCAUACAUAUUCUAAUAUCUUCGAUCAAAUUUUAAUAUCUUUAAACAUUUUCCAAUAUCUUCGAACAUUUGCAGGUAUCUUCGACCUAAUGCUUAUAUCUUCACUUCGAUCAUAUUAUGAAAAUUAGGUCCCAUGAAGCUUUCCCUGAAUUUUUGUUUGUUUGUAAGACGACAUUGAGGAUCUGUCUAUAUUUCAUAGCGAGAAAGCCUUCCCUAAGUUUUCUGCACAUAGUGUGGUUUAAAAAUGUUAAGGAACUGCCCUCGUGAAGUGUUAGUUCGCUAAUGUGCAACUGGUGUAUAAUUCUGUGUUGUGAAUGUUGUUUAAUCUUCAUUUGUUUGUUGCCAGUUUGGGUGUUCGAAUAUCUUGUUACUUACAUGUCGCUUUAGCCUCUCAACUUUAGAGGCUGGAGGCAAAAAUAAUUUGUAACAUUGGAAUGUUCUAUGAGAGGUGACAGACGUCAAGUCUCUGGAAUGAUUUAUGAGAGUUGACAGAGGUUGACAGAUGUCAAGUGUCUGGAAUGCUUUAUGAGAGUUGACAGAUAUCAAGUGUCUGGAAUGACUCAUGAGAGUUGACAGAUGUCAAGUGUCUUGAAUGACUUAUGAGAGUUGACAUAUGUCAAGAAAUUCGACAGUUGACGAAGGUACAGUUUGCUGAUCCGUCUUGUUCCGUGGCUGCUGUCUCGUGGAUCUCUGUUCCUGGACAUGUCUCUGGCCCGCGACUUGCAACGCUUGCUUCCACUAUCAUCAUGAAAUGCUCUCAGAGGUAGCAUGGUGCCUAUACAGCUAUUAUAAAUGUUAUCGAAUUCCAUAUUUUAUGCCGUAUAGAGCUUUCUUGCCUUAGCAUUAUAAUGUACAAUUGUGCUAUUCCAAUACUCGAUGACGAGCGCCGUAGUAUGCCAUCGACUCACCAUCUUUAAUUCAUGAUAAAAAGGCACGAGUAAAAUGCACGGCAUAUUCUUAUGACUCGUUCGUCUUUGAAACAAACGGUAGGGUUUUUAUUGAAGUAUUGAAAGAAUCCAUGCUAAUAUGAGGCGUUGUGAAUUGAUCUGUUUUCUCUAAACAGUGAAAGUCUGGGAAAUAAGUGUGAUCUUGGUAGCGUUUUUAGGCAUUUUUAAAUCUAAACUUAAAAACACGGAAAUUUUAGACUGCGCAAUAAUAAACUGACAGGACACCUCCAAUCUGAAGUUGAUUAUUUCAAUGAAUAGAUAGCAAUAAAUGUAAGGUUAUAUGCAUUUGAUCUAGCAUCACUCUACUAGAGAUUGUGGGCGCAUCCAUUGUUCUUCCUCGUUUUGUUAAAACUUGUCUCACGCUUCCUAUCUUCUGCAGAAACUACAACUCGUACCAACAAAGUGAUAUUCGAGCCAUGAUUUUAUAUAUAAAUACUCAAAAGUGUAGGGAAAAUCGGUAAAUCUAAGUCAGUGUAUUUUAACAAUCUACCAAUAUAUGUUUUUUUUCGGGGAACACGUCAUUGUAACUAAUUGAAAUAUUCACAAGUUUGCUUGAAUCGUACAUAUAUUCUUUUGUAUUGGUGAGUGGGGAAACUAAACUGAACUGCAACUAAGCUUUAGACGAGAUCUAAAUUUGUAGCUCAUAGUUCUUUUGAACGAUGCUCUACCAAAUUCGUAACAAUUGUUUUCGAGAAGAAAUUUAACGUGUAUCAAUAGCUUUAAGGAGCUCGGAGUAGCAGGUAAAGCUUGAUGUGACUACGCCACAUAUACGUUUUCUUACAUAUUAAGAGAAGUUAAAUCAACUUUGAAUUACUGAUCGGGAUCAAAGAAGUAUUCUGCGACUUGUAUCCAGUUGUCAUCUUGGAUUUAAUGCAAUAGAAACUAUUUAAUCGCAAUCUAUAACUAUUGAACUUACUGUGUCACACGAACUUCCAGAAUAGAAGUAUAUCUGAAGUCCCCAUUUACGAACAAAUUGUUAGUGCAAUUGAGGGCAAUGUUCAUCACUUUGUUGUGAACAAAAUAGAAUAGGAAUCACAGGCGCUCCUGCUUGUCAGUGAAGCAAUAGUUCGUGACGGGCUCUUGUGGUGCCUAAAAUAAAGAGAACUUUAAAGUUUGAACCUUCAUAAUUAUUAUCUUCUAUUAAAAAGAGUAUUCUGGGUUAAUAUUCAUUAUUAUAUCAGCCGUGUUGUUUGUAAUUAAUUUUAUAAGGACUCUUAAUGCCUUUGCCUUUUUCAUACUAGGUAAGAUUUUGAAAGUACUUAUGCAUUGUAUAUGCUUGAUGUGCGCGUGAUCCUGUCAUGAAAGACGCGUUCUCAUUUGUAACUCAUUCGCAUUUCAGAACGUUUUUGUUUAUGUGUGUCUCGACAUCUUUACAAUACCGUGUAGGUGUCUAACUGAAAUAUCGUAAUCUGAAACCUUAUUUAUGGACCUUCAACCUUUACUUAGUUUUACUUCACGCCAAGCUUUUCACAUAUGAUCUUUUCCAUAACUUCCCUUUUCCAUUUUUCCAUCAACGCAUGAGGUGUCCUGAUCCUUAACAUAUCGUUGCUAUGCAAAGGAACCUUGCUACAAAAUUAUUUAGACUUUUGCAUCCAAGUUAAAAAAACUGAUUUUUGCAUCAUGUCUACUAUGUUUUUAGUCUUGAUUUCCAAUCUGAUCUUGAUUUGUAAAUUCUCGUUCAUCGUGAUGUUUGAAACUCAUUAUAUUUGAGCUGCGGUAGAAAUAAUCCAUGAUAAUUUAAUUUUAGUUCGCGUUGACCUCAAUAUGUGUUGACAAUUGUGACUUCCUCUCUUCGUGGUUGGAAAUGCUUGUUCACUUUGUUGAUGAAAUUUAUUAUGAAAUGUUACUCAAAUGCGACGAAUUUUACCGGGAUUCUCUUGGGUACAAAUGAUAGGACACGAGCGUCAACCAGUCUGGCAUGGAGUUUGAUGUGUGUUUCUUUUCUACUCGUUUUACUAUUGAAUGUUCAACAGCAUCAAUCGCAGCCUUCUUCAUAUUAUAAUCAACGUUGUUUUCUUCGGCGUAAAUUCUACAUAUAUUCAUACUAAACAAUAACUAUGGUUUUUAAAAUUAUUAAACUCGAUAGCGCUAAGGAUGCGAAGCUGGUCUUCCACACGAAAUUCUUGCGCCGCUUUCUUUUGUUGCAAAUGGACGUUGAGAGAAAGACUCUCUCUCUCAAUAAAUAUUCUACUGCAUCGCAAAUGAUUGAACGAAUGUUAAUUUAUACAAUGAAUCUAUGUAAAUGAGUGUGGAUAGAUUCGUUUUCAGACGUACAUCACUAAAUGUGUGUUCUCUAACAAAAAAAAAUGUUUGUUUGAACCUAAAUUUGAUGUCUAAGCCUGAGUGUCUCACACCUGCGCAGAACUGUUAAUUACCAGCGAGAGCCAGAAACUUUUGACGUGAACGUCGGAAAUAGCGAAGCAUGUGUCUCACACUUGCGUCGGUGCUAACGCAGCCACCUCAUACAUGUGGUAGGUACUAACAUACUUGCGUUGGUGCUAACGCAGCCACCUCAUACAUGUGGUAGGUACUAACAUACUUGCGUUGGUGCUAACGCAACUAUCGUGACUGUAGUUGUGGUUGAUAGGCUCCCUUUUGUUACUAUGUGCUUCUUCAUAGAAAUAGCGUCCCUAAUUCAGUGUGGUCACUCAACCCUAGCUGUAUUUUUUACAAGUCUUCAAUAAAAAAACGACGGGCUUGUGUCCCUAAAUAUUAUUACCCAUGUAUUAAUUAUCCGCUAACUUAGCAUUAAAUUCUUUCUUAUAUCCUCGCUGUACAAUUUGCUUUACAUUUUUUAUUCCGCUUUGUGUUUGUCGACGAAAUUAGCGUUUCGUUAAGCAACUUUUUUGCUGAUUUGGAUGUCUUCAUAAAUAUUUCGCCAGGGCUGUUCUAUUUCAAUAGCUCUAAGUGUGGAGGAGAAAUGAGGCGCAAUAUGACGCUACUAUGUUUUUGAGUGUCGAGCGUUAUCUACACUCACCGCUCACGAGAAUAAAUAACUUCGCUAUACGUAAAGUUUGCUUUCUUCUGAAGUUCUUGUCUGCGUUUUUGUUUUAACCUGAACACUGAUAAUCAAAACUAUUCACAAUAUAGACUUUGAUUUGCGCGUUGAAAUGCGCUUGCACAAAUAUUGCUUUUAUCUGGUAUCAAUUUUUGCAGGUCAUGUUGUUAUACUCGUUACUAAAUGUUGUACGACUACUUGGGUACAUAUAAUCCUUGGUAAAAUAUACUGUUCAAGUUAGGCAUCUUCUUGAUUAUAAUUAAUUUCUAGAUGCUGCACAUAUUUUUAUUAUUUUCUAAAUUUUACACCGACAUAUAUGCAAUUGUUAAUUAAUGUAGGCUACAGUUAAAUACAAAGCACCUUAUGAUGUUAAAUGUUACCCACGACCACAACACGAAAAUUUCGCGUUAAUGUCAUAAAAUCCGUUUAGUGCCGUUCCUAAAUUAAGUUUUACUGGUUACAACAUUCUGUAGUUCAUCUUUGUGCCAUAAUUCUUGCGAUGGAGUGAAGAAACUCACUCCAAACUGAUGCUGCAAAAUACUAUGCAUGGUUGUAUACACAAAUAUUAACGACUUUUUUUCAUUGUAAUUAUCGCCUCUAACUAUUUAACUAGGAUAUAACCUUUAGAUGCACGCCUAUUUUACCUCCUUUAAUAUUUUUUGACGUCCUACAAUAAAUAAGCCCUCAAAUCCGUCAAAAUACCCAGUCAAUGAAACGCUUCUUACGACCGUGCGAAGCAAGUCCCGUUUUUUUAAAGCGUUAUUUCCAAAUGUUUCCGCAUUCCCGUCGGUAUCUUAUGACCUUUUUGAGCUCAAAUGUUUCACGCAACGAAACCUCAUCCUAAUAUAAUGUGAACGUUCGUAAUGAUCCAUUAAAAUCACAAGUUUUCAUCUUAACCCCCCCCCCCCCAUCCCCCCACACUGACGUUUAGCUUGCUAAAGCGCAGGAAAAUACGAAACAAUUUGAAACCCUCUUAUUGAUGUACAUCCUUAGCCACGAUAUUAGUUUCUUGACUAUCGACCAAAUAACCUUAACGAAAGCGACAUAUUAAAAUUACAUCCUAUUUCGGGUAAACAUCCAAUGAAUUAUCGUGCAAUAACAAAUAAAUUUCGAGUAUUGUAUUAAUUAACAUUGAACAUAAAUAAAUCAUUAUUAUUAGCGAAUAUAAUUAGCGAUGAUAUUGAUUCAAGGCGAUCAGCAAAUUGAAUUUUUGUAGCGUUUAAAUAAAGUACAUUAUACCAAGAAUAAAUUUGAAGUUAUACCAAUCACUCGUCCUUGUUAAUUAUGAUAGGGGUAACUGGUAUUUAGCUGAAUGACUUCACAUCUUUCUUUAAUAAACUUUAAACGACAAAA